AUAUGUGGCUAGGGGUGCUGUAUAAAAAAAGCUGAGAGAUAUUUAUGAUAUCAACCCUUGUACCUGAUUUGGAUAAUACCAACGUAGGAAAGCUUAUUAAGAACAAU
rnacentral:ncRNA from 2 species